rnacentral:rRNA from 1 species
AACAGCUGCGGUAUUUUAACUGUACUAAGGUAGCAUAAUAAUUUGCCUUAUAAUUUGAGGCUAGAAUGAAUGGUUUGACGAAGGUUAAUCUGUCUCUAUUUUACUUUUUAGAAAUUAAUUUUCAUAGUGAAAAAGCUUGAAUUUUGUAAAGGGACGAGAAGACCCUAUUGAGCUUAUAAUUUUAUUGUCAUCAAGAUUGUUAUGUAACUGGUGACAUAUAAAUUUUAAUUGGGGUGAUUGAGGAAUAAAGUUUUAUUGUGGAAGUAACUUCCUUAGUAAUGCAUAUUGUUAAAUGAAGUAACCAAUAAUUAAUUACUAUUGCUUAUACUAUAGUUACCAUAGGGAUAACAGCGUAAUUCAUUUAGAGAGUUCUUAUUGAAAAAUGAGAUUGCGACCUCGAUGUUGGAUUAAAGUAACCUUAAGGUGCAGAAGCUUUAAUAAGGUAAAUCUGUUCGAUUUUUAAAACUUUACGUGAUCUGAGUUCAGAC